rnacentral:rRNA from 1 species
UACGGGGGGGGGCAAGCGUUGUUCGGAAUUACUGGGCGUAAAGGGCUCGUAGGCGGCCAACUAAGUCAAACGUGAAAUCCCUCGGCUUAACCGGGGAACUGCGUCUGAUACUGGAUGGCUUGAGUUCGGGAGAGGGAUGCGGAAUUCCAGGUGUAGCGGUGAAAUGCGUAGAUAUCUGGAGGAACACCGGUGGCGAAGGCGGCCUUCUGGACAGCAACUGACGCUGAGACGCGAAAGCGUGGGGAGCGAACAGG